rnacentral:lncRNA from 1 species
GGGGGGGGGGGGGGGGGGGGGGGGGGGGGGGGGGGGGGGGGGGGGGGGGGGGGGGGGGGGGGGGGGGGGGGCCCGCGGCGGUACCGAGGGGAGGGGGCGGGGCUGGGGGCACUGGGAGCACUGGGGAAGGAACAGGGCGGAACUGGGAGGGCUCUGGGGGCACUGGGGCCAUCCUGGCAGCAUCAGGAGGAUGCUGGGAGCUCAGGGGAGAAACUGGGAGGAUGCUGGGACUGGUGUGGGGAUACUGGGAACAUACUCGGAGCACUGGAGGUGAUACUGGGGAGAAACUGGAAGAAUAGCUGCAUUAUUGGGGGGAAUACUGGGAGUACUGGGAGUGACUGGAAGGGUCCUGGGAGCACUGGGGGGCAUACUGGGAGUAACUGGGAGGGUCCUGGGAGCACUGGGGGGCAUACUGGGAGUACGGGGGGAGACUGGAUGGAUACUGUGGCACUGAGAGGGGCACUGGGAGCUCUGGGGGGGAACUGGGAUGGACUGGGAGCAACGAGAGGGGGCUGGAGGAUACUGGGAGAGCUUGGGGGGGCACUGGGAGAGGAUAUGGGGAGCCUGGAAGGGUUACUGGGAGCACUGGGAGGUUACUGGGAGCACUGGUAAGCAGUGGGUGUUACUGGGUGUUACUGGGAGCACUGUGUGUUACUGGGUGAGGAGCUGGGAGCACUGGGUGUUACUGGUUGUUACUGGUAGCACUGAGCCCCCUCUCUCUCUCCCAGGUGAGGAGCUGGGCAGCCCCAGCAGCGCCGGGACCGGGCAGGGCUACGGACUGGGCUGGCCACAGGUACGGACUGGGAGCACUGGGAUGGAACUGGGAGGGACUGGGAGCACUGACAGGGAAUGGGGAGGGCUGGGAUGCAGCUGCCUUGUGGCCCUGGGGGAUUUAUUGGUGUUUAACUGCUGUAUACUGGUGUGUUACUGGUGUACGCAGGUGUGUAUGAGGAUAUACUGGUGUGUGUAAUUAGUAUAUACUGGCUUAUACUGGUGUAUACCGGUUAAUAUUGGUUUAUACUGGCCCAGGAGCCGGGCUCAGAGGGUGACUGGUGGGACUGGUGUGUGACUGGUCCAUACUGGUUUAUACUGGUUUAGUAACUGGUUUACACUGGUUUAUACUGGUGCAUAACGGUUAGUAACUGGUAUAUACUGGUCUAUACUGGCGCAUAACUGGUCUAUACUGGUUUGCACUGUCCCAGGAGCCGGCCCCGUUCGCCGUGGAGCUGCUGCGGGGCCCGGGGGGUGACUGGUGGUACUGGUGUGUAACUGGUCUAUACUGGUCUAUACUGGGCAGGAGCCGGCGCCGUUCGCUGUGGAGGGGGGGGGGGGGGGGGGGGGGGGGGGGGGGGGGGGGGGGGGGGGGGGGGGGGGGGGGGGGGGG